rnacentral:tRNA from 1 species
UUUAGGAUCCUGUUAGAUAGAGAAAUUCUAUAAAUAGUUAAAUAGUUGGGAAUCUAACUGUUUUGUGACUUUA